ensembl:ncRNA F09E10.14 ncRNA
AAGACCGUCAGUUGUUGCCGAGAAACUUCCAUUCUUCCGUGUUUUUGGUUCAUGUUUACCAGUCACCUGAUCUUAUCGCAUUAGUCUUAUGACAUUCUGCACGUUGUUUUCAACA